AGCUUAUCAAGAAAGACGGAGGGACUGGACCCUGCGAUGUCUUGGCAACCGGCCACCUGGCACCGGUGCCACAUUCCACCCCAACCCAGAACGGGGCAGAUAAGGU
rnacentral:ncRNA from 1 species